rnacentral:rRNA from 1 species
AUGAGACAAAGACAACCAGGAGGUUGGCUUAGAAGCAGCCACCCUUUAAAGAAAGCGUAACAGCUCACUGGUCAAGUGUUUUUGCGCCGACAAUGUAACGGGGCUAAAGCUUGCUACCGAAGCUACGGUUCGUCAGGGUCUUCGGGCUCUGUCGAAGGUAGAAGAGCAUUCUAAUCUGGCAGAAGCCUCGAUGUGAGUCGGGGUGGACGGGUUGGAAGAGACUCUGCCGGCAUAAGUAGCGAUAAUUCCGGUAAAAACCCGGAACGCCGAAAAUCUAAGGUUUCCUGAGGAAGGUCAGUCCACUCAGGGUUAGUCGGUGCCUAAGCCGAGGUCGAAAGACGUAGGCGAUGGACAGCAGGUCAACAUUCCUGCACCGCCUGAAAAACGUUUGUACGAUGGGGAGACGCUUCCUGAUAAGCAUACACACGGCUGGAAAUGUGUGGCCGCCAGGUAGAGGGAACUUCCAGGUAAAUCCGGAAGUUCUUAACCUCGAGCACGGCGGGGAAGAUUUCCUUCGGGAUUUCCAACUUGUUGAAUCCAUACCGUCAAGAAAAUCCUCUAAGGAGUAUUUCAGGUGGCCGUACCGUAAACCGACACAGGUAGAUGAGGAGAGAAUCCUAAGGCGUACGUGUCAACCCUCUUUAAGGAACUCGGCAAAUUAACCCCGUAACUUCGGAAUAAGGGGAGCCUCGUUAGUGUUGUAUCUCAACUUGCUUGGGAGAAGCAUGAGGAGGCCGCAGAAAAAUGGCCCAGGCGACUGUUUACUAAAAACACAGGUCUCUGCAAAGUCAAAAAAAACGACGUAUAGGGACUGACGCCUGCCCGGUGCCGGAAGGUUAAAGGGAGGGGUUAGCUUUCGGGCGAAGCUCUGAUCUGAAGCCCCGGUAAACGGCGGCCGUAACUAUAACGGUCCUAAGGUAGCGAAAUUCCUUGUCGGGUAAGUUCCGACCCGCACGAAUGGCGUAACGACUUGGGCACUGUCUCAAGGAGGGGCACGGCGAAAUUGUAGUACCGGUGAAGAUGCCGGUUACCUGCCGCUGGACGGAAAGACCCCGGCACCUUAACUGCAGCGUAGCAUUGAAUUUUGGGUUAUUAUGUGCAGGAUAGGUGGGAGACUUUGAAGCCCUAACGUAAGUUAGGGUGGAGUCGUCGGUGAGAUACCACUCUUAAUAUUCUGAGGUUCUAACCUACAUCCGUUAUCCGGAUGAGGGACAGUGUUAAGUGGGUAGUUUGACUGGGGCGGUCGCCUCCCAAAAUGUAACGGAGGCGCCCUAAGGUUCCCUCAAGCUGUUUGGAAAUCAGCUGAAGAGUGCAAAGGCAUAAGGGAGCUUGACUGCGAGACUGACAAGUCGAGCAGGUAGGAAACUAGGGCUUAGUGAUCCGGCGGUCCCGUAUGGAAGGGCCGUCGCUCAACGGAUAAAAGGUACGCCGGGGAUAACAGGCUAAUAGGGCCCAAGAGCUCAUAUCGACGGCCCUGUUUGGCACCUCGAUGUCGGCUCAUCGCAUCCUGGGGCUGAAGCCGGUCCCAAGGGUUGGGCUGUUCGCCCAUUAAAGCGGUACGUGAGCUGGGUUUAGAACGUCGCGAGACAGUUCGGUCCCUAUCCACGGUAGGCGUAGGAAAUUUGAGGGGGUCUGUUCCUAGUACGAAAGGACCGGAAUGGACAAACCUAUAGUGUACCAGUUGUCCCGCCAGGGGCAUAGCUGGGUAGCUACGUUUGGUUGAGAUAACCGCUGAAAGCAUAUAAGCGGGAAGCUCGCCCCAAGAUUAGAUUUCCCUUCCCGAGUAAUCGGGCUAAAGGUCCCUUGUAGACUACAAGGUUGAUAGGCUGGGUGUGUAAGUCCGGUAACGGAUUGAGCUAACCAGUACUAAUAGACCGUGAGGCUUGACCGU